UACGGAGGGGGCUAGCGUUGUUCGGAAUUACUGGGCGUAAAGCGCGCGUAGGCGGCUUUGUAAGUUAGAGGUGAAAGCCCGGAGCUCAACUCCGGAACUGCCUUUAAGACUGCAUCGCUAGAACGUCGGAGAGGUAAGUGGAAUUCCGAGUGUAGAGGUGAAAUUCGUUGAUAUUCGCAAGAACACCAGUGGCGAAGGCGGCUCACUGGCCCGAUACUGACGCUGAGGCACGAAAGCGUGGGGAGCAAACAGG
rnacentral:rRNA from 1 species